rnacentral:rRNA from 1 species
UACAGAGGUCUCGAGCGUUAGUCGGAAUCACUGGGCUUAAAGCGUGUGUAGGCGGAUCGUUAAGUGCCUUGUGAAAUCCCACGGCUUAACCGUGGAACUGCUUGGCAUACUGGCGGUCUUGAGCAACCUAGGGGCGAGCGGAACAAAUGGUGGAGCGGUGAAAUGCGUAGAUAUCAGUUGGAACGCCAAUGGUGAAAGCAGCUCGCUGGGGGUUUGCUGACGCUGAGACACGAAAGCCAGGGGAGCGAACGGG